rnacentral:rRNA from 1 species
GUAGGUGGCAAGCGUUGGUCCGGAAUUAUUGGGCGUAAAGCGCGCGCAGCGGGGUCCUUUAAGUCUGGUGUGAAAGCCCACGGCUCAACCGUGGAGGGUCAUUGGAAACUGGGGGACUUGAGUACAGAAGAGGAAAGCGGAAUUCCAAGUGUAGCGGUGAAAUGCGUAGAGAUUUGGAGGAACACCAGUGGCGAAGGCGGCUUUCUGGUCUGUAACUGACGCUGAGGCGCGAAAGCGUGGGGAGCAAACAGGAUUAGAUACCCUGGUAGUCCACGCCGUAAACGAUGAGUGCUAAGUGUUAGGGGGUUUCCGCCCCUUAGUGCUGCAGCUAACGCAUUAAGCACUCCGCCUGGGGAGUACGGCCGCAAAGGCUGA